GGGAGCCGUCACAGGUGCUGCAUGGCUGUCGUCAGCUCGUGUCGUGAGAUGUUCGGUUAAGUCCGGUAACGAGCGCAACCCUCGUCGCCAGUUACACGAUGUCUGGCGAGACUGCCCGUAGAAAGCGGGAGGAAGGUGGGGAUGACGUCAAGUCAGCAUGGCCUUGAUGUCCAGGGCGACACACACGCUACAAUGGCCGGUACAAUGGGGUGCCAACCCGCGAGGGGGAGCCAAUCCGGCAAAGCCGGUCUCAGUUCGGAUUGCAGGCUGCAACCCGCCUGCAUGAAGUCGGAG
rnacentral:rRNA from 1 species